GCUUAGUAGCUGGGGUGCCGAAAGGAGCGCAGAGACAGGUGCUGCAUGGCUGUCGUCAGCUCGUGUCGUGAGAUGUUGGGUUAAGUCCCGCAACGAGCGCAACCCUUGUCUACUGUUGCCAUCAGGUUAAGCUGGGCACUCUGUAGAGACUGCCGGUGAUAAACCGGAGGAAGGUGGGGAUGACGUCAAGUCAGCAUGGCCUUUAUGUCUGGGGCUACACACGUGCUACAAUGGCCGGUACAAAGCGCUGCAAGCCCGCGAGGGGGAGCUAAUCACAUAAAGCCGGUCUCAGUUCGGAUUGUAGGCUGCAACUCGCCUGCAUGAAGUUGGAAUCGCUAGUAAUCGCAGAUCAGCAGGCUGCGGUGAAUACGUUCCCGGGCCUUGUACACACCGCCCGUCACAUCACGAAAGCUGG
rnacentral:rRNA from 1 species